rnacentral:lncRNA from 1 species
UAAAGAAAGAGAAACAGGAAGCGUCACUCUUUUCCCCUCGGCUCCUGCUCCAGCGGCACAAUGUGAUCCACCGGCAAGGAGGGAUGCCAAUAAGGCAUCCAAUAAGAUAAGUCUUAUAAAAUAUAUAGGUUUAUGAUAGUUAAGAUUGAACUAGCAGAUGAGAAUCCUAGUCAUUGGCCAAGUAGCUUUGAAUCUAAUACAUGUUUCUGUGUAUUCAUUUGGGCCUAACUCGGGCUGGCGUAAAGCUCACAUGCAGCGGUGGGGCUCAGGCGGCUUUUGGCAGAAAGAUUUAUCAUAACACCAGCCUCUUUUGGUCCCUUUGCUAUCCCAGUUCCUAGGGCUCGCCUGACAUUCAAAAGGUGCUCAGUAAACAUUGAUGCGUGGUUGGCUGAAUUAAUAAUAGAUGGACGUGAGGUUCACUGGCCAUCAGUCCGAGGUGUCAGGUACAGGGGCGCUCACUGAAAGGCUUUCUCUAACUGCUCCUUCCUCCUUUCUUCUUCAGCAACGUGAGGAUGUGGACUAUAGACCUGACUUCUGGGUCCCAGGCCUGAGAAGCUCUCAGAAUAUCAGCCAGUGCCAGAAAGCCUUUCCCCUAGUGGCUAAGCAACCCUCCAUUGCUCAUUCUGCUUUCUGCUCUCUUUAAAGGGGACAGUGUGACCAGAAGUGGCUGGUGGCCUUUGCAACAGCAGGGGGAUUUGGGAGAGGAUGUCCCAGAGUGCCUCCGUGGCUGUGAGAAAUGGCUGAAGCAUAAGCACAAGGAAGACAUUUUGGGGAACAUCAUCGUUCACCUCGGGAGUGAUGGGUGGUCGGCUGUGUGAAGAUGAAGCUCAGUAUCUCCUUCCCCACCAUCAGAACCACCAGAAACUCAAGCUUUGGACAUUCUGUGAGAAUCGCAUAGCCACAGAGACCAAGGAGAACUGGAGAGAGGAAGCACUGAGGAUACAUCAUGGAUGCCAAUCUGAGUGUUCUCAACUUGGUUAUUAUAAAAAAAAGAGAGAGAGAGAGAGAGAGAGAGAAAGAGAGAGAAGGAUAUUCUGGGACUAACAGAUACUACUGGUUCCUCAUCAGUUGGGACCUAAAAGAGCUAGCAGACUCUGAAAGCUUUUUAAUCUCUCUAAAGAUGAUUUCUACCAAUAUGUGGGAAAGCCUUUAAACAAAAAAGGUAAGAAGUCCAGGACCAAAAUGCCCAAGACUCAGCAUCUUGUUACUUCACGUGUCCUACAACACAAAUGCAGUCGUAUUGCUCGGAAGAAACAACGAACAAAGAAAAACGAGGAGGCUGCAGAAUAUACUAAAAUUUUGGCCAAGAGAAUGAAGCCAAAGAAAAUGCCAGAAACAGAUCACCAAGAGAUGGAGGCUGUCCUUACUGACAGCUUCUACUUCUAAGUCUUAGUCCAGUCAAAAAUAUGCCUUUAAGGGUAACAAAGAAAUAAUCAUACAUUGAAAAAAAAGAGUUGCUGUGGUCAUGGUGUCUCUUCACAGCAAUAAAAAUCCUAAGACAGAAGUCAAAUAGGGACAGGGGCCUGGAUGCCAGCUUUCAGGGGGAUAGCAGUGUUAAUGGGGAGUAAGUUCUGCCUGCCAGACGAAUGGCAAUGGCUUUCUUCCACAGACUUCGAGCUGUGGGGUGGCCUCCUUUGUGGUAAAAUACCCUAAUCAUAUCCCACCCAUCCCAGCCUUUCCCAUAUACGUGUGUGUGUGUGUGUGUGUGUGUGUGUGUGUGUGUGUGUGUGUAUACAUAUAUAUUAACAUCAAACAAGUCUUAUAUCCCUUACAUGUAGACCAAUGCACACCUUGACCCAAAUUCUUCUUCAAUGAAGUAAUGUCUAACACUGCUCUAGUGAGAUGGUAAUGCUGGACUGGAGAAUUGCCUGGGAGUUCAUGGGCAAUCUAGUACACAGCAUAGCAGAAGCAAGAGAGACUCAGCCUCAACAAAGCAGGAGGGGAAAACCAAUUCCCCAAAGUUCCACAUGUACACAGUAGCAUGCAUGUUACACAUGUACACCGUAGCAUGCAUGUUACACAUGUACACAGUAGCAUGCAUGUUACACAUGUACACCACAGCAUGCAUGUUACACAUGUACACCACAGCAUGCAUGUUACACAUGUACACCACAGCAUGCAUGUUACACAUGUACACAGU